GCGACCGGCGCACGGGUGAGUAACGCGUAUCCAACCUUCCGUACACUCAGGGAUAGCCUUUCGAAAGAAAGAUUAAUACCUGAUGGUAUGAUGAGAUUGCAUGAUAGCAUCAUUAAAGAUUUAUCGGUGUACGACGGGGAUGCGUUCCAUUAGGUAGUAGGCGGGGUAACGGCCCACCUAGCCAACGAUGGAUAGGGGUUCUGAGAGGAAGGUCCCCCACAUUGGAACUGAGACACGGUCCAAACUCCUACGGGAGGCAGCAGUGAGGAAUAUUGGUCAAUGGACGAGAGUCUGAACCAGCCAAGUAGCGUGAAGGAUGAAGGUCCUACGGAUUGUAAACUUCUUUUAUAAGGGAAUAAACCCUCCCACGUGUGGGAGCUUGUAUGUACCUUAUGAAUAAGCAUCGGCUAACUCCGUGCCAGCAGCCGCGGUAAUACGGAGGAUGCGAGCGUUAUCCGGAUUUAUUGGGUUUAAAGGGAGCGCAGACGGGUCGUUAAGUCAGCUGUGAAAGUUUGGGGCUCAACCUUAAAAUUGCAGUUGAUACUGGCGUCCUUGAGUGCGGUUGAGGUGUGCGGAAUUCGUGGUGUAGCGGUGAAAUGCUUAGAUAUCACGAAGAACUCCGAUUGCGAAGGCAGCAC
rnacentral:rRNA from 1 species